rnacentral:rRNA from 1 species
UACAGAGGGUGCGAGCGUUGUUCGGAAUUACUGGGCGUAAAGCGCGCGCAGGCGGAUCCUGCAAGUCUGGAGUGAAAUCUCACCGCUCAACGGUGAGGCUGCUUUGGAUACUGCGGUGACUGGAGUCCGGUAGGGGAGUGUGGAAUUCCUGGUGUAGCGGUGAAAUGCGCAGAUAUCAGGAGGAACACCAACAGCGAAGGCAGCACUCUGGGCCGGUACUGACGCUGAGGAGCGAAAGCAUGGGGAGCGAACAGG